AUUUAAAUAGUUUAUUUAAAAAUAUUAAUUUGUGGAAUUAAAGAUAUAAAUUUAUUUAUUUUAAAUU
rnacentral:tRNA from 1 species